GGAUAGGUCCGUCAGCCCAUUGGU
rnacentral:siRNA from 1 species